rnacentral:rRNA from 1 species
AGUGAACGCUGGCGGUAGGCCUAACACAUGCAAGUCGAACGACAGCUCAGUAAGAGCUUGCUCUUACGGGUGUCGAGUGGCGGACCGGUGCGGAAUACUUCGGAAUCUACUUUUUCGUGGGGGAUAAUGUAGGGAAAUUUACGCUAAUACCGCAUACGUCCUCCUGGUUAAAGCAGGGGAUCUUCGGACCUUGCGUGAUUGAAUGAGCCGAUGUCGGAUGCGCUAGCUGGCGGGGUAAAGGCCCACCAAGGCGACGAUCCGUAUCUGGUAUGAGAGGAAGGACAGACACACUGGAACUGAGACACGGUCCAGACUCCUACGGGAGGCAGCAGUGGGGAAUAUUGGACAAUGGGCGCGAGCCUGAUCCAGCCAUACCGCGUAGGUGAAGAAGGCCUUCGGGUUGGAAAGCCCUUUUGUUGGGAAAGAAAAACAGCAGGUUAAUACCCCGCUGUUCUGACGGUACCCAAAGAAUAAGCACCGGCUAACUUCGUG